rnacentral:rRNA from 1 species
GACGGAGGGUGCUAGCGUUGUUCGGAAUGACUGGGCGUAAAGGGCGCGUAGGCGGCUCGUGAAGUCGGGUGUGAAAGCCCGGGGCUCAACCCCGGAACGGCAUCCGAUACUGGCGGGCUUGAGACCGGGAGAGGAGGGUGGAAUACCCAGUGUAGAGGUGAAAUGCGUAGAUAUCCGGAGGAACACCAGUGGCGAAGGCGACUUUCUGGCCUGUUCUUGACGCUGAGGCGCGAAAGCUAGGGGAGCAAACGGG